GCCUAACACAUGCAAGUCGAGCGAGAGGUACCUUCGGGUACCGAAAGCGGCGGACGGGUGAGGAGAGCGUGGGAAUCUGCCUGUAGAUGGGGGAUAGCCCGGAGAAAUCCGGAUUAAUACCGCAUAAUACCUGAGGGUUAAAGUGGAGGAUCGCAAGACUUCACGUCUACAGAUGAGCCCACGUCAGAUUAGCUAGUUGGUAGGGUAAAGGCCUACCAAGGCGACGAUCUGUAGCUGGCCUGAGAGGGUGGCCAGCCACACUGGAACUGAGACACGGUCCAGACUCCUACGGGAGGCAGCAGUGGGGAAUAUUGGACAAUGGGCGCAAGCCUGAUCCAGCCAUGCCGCGUGUGUGAAGAAGGCCUUCGGGUUGUAAAGCACUUUAAGUUGGGAGGAAGGUUCGAUGGCUAAUAUCCAUCGGAAUUGACGUUACCAACAGAAUAAGCACCGGCUAAUUCCGUGCCAGCAGCCGCGGUAAUACGGAAGGUGCGAGCGUUAAUCGGAAUUACUGGGCGUAAAGCGCACGUAGGCGGCUUUUUAAGUCGGAUGUGAAAGCCCUGGGCUUAACCUGGGAAUUGCAUCCGAUACUGGGAAGCUAGAGUACGGUAGAGGGAGGUGGAAUUCCAGGUGUAGCGGUGAAAUGCGUAAAGAUCUGGAGGAACACCGGUGGCGAAGGCGGCCUCCUGGACUGAUACUGACGCUGAGGUGCGAAAGCGUGGGGAGCAAACAGGAUUAA
rnacentral:rRNA from 1 species